rnacentral:rRNA from 1 species
UACGAAGGGGCUAGCGUUGCUCGGAAUCACUGGGCGUAAAGCGCACGUAGGCGGACUGUCAUGAGGUCGUGGAAAUCCUGGAGCUCAACUCCAGAACUGCCUUCGAUACUGAGAGUCUCGAGUCCGGGAGAGGUGAGUGGAACUGCGAGUGUAGAGGUGAAAUUCGUAGAUAUUCGCAAGAACACCAGUGGCGAAGGCGGCUCACUGGCCCGGUACGCGACGCUGAGGUGCGAAAGCGUGGGAGCGAACAGG